GGAGGAAAAGAAACUAACAAGGAUUCCCCUAGUAACGGCGAGUGAAGCGGGAAGAGCUCAAAUUUGUAAUCUGGCACCUUCGGUGUCCGAGUUGUAAUCUCGAGAAGUGUUUUCCGCGCCGGACCGCAUACAAGUCUGUUGGAAUACAGCGUCAUAGUGGUGAGAACCCCGUAACUGAUGCGGAUGCCCGGUGCUUUGUGAUACACUUUCGAAGAGUCGAGUUGUUUGGGAAUGCAGCUCAAAUUGGGUGGUAAAUUCCAUCUAAAGCUAAAUAUUGGCGAGAGACCGAUAGCGAACAAGUACCGUGAGGGAAAGAUGAAAAGCACUUUGGAAAGAGAGUUAACAGUACGUGAAAUUGUUGGAAGGGAAACGCUUGAAGUCAGACUUGCUAUUUGGAAUUCAGCCGCAAGGUGUACUUUUCAAUUCGCAGGCCAGCAUCAGUUUUCGGGGGUGGAAAAGGGUAGAGAGAAGGUAGCAAUUUCGGUUGUGUUAUAGCUCUUUGCUGGAUUCAUCCUUGGGGACUGAGGAACGCAGCACGCUUUUUGCAAGGCUUUCGAGCUUU
rnacentral:rRNA from 1 species